rnacentral:rRNA from 1 species
GAUGAACGCUGGCGGCGUGCUUAACACAUGCAAGUCGAACGGAAAGGCUCCUGCUUGCAGGGGUACUCGAGUGGCGAACGGGUGAGUAACACGUGGGUGAUCUGCCCUGCACUUCGGGAUAAGCCUGGGAAACUGGGUCUAAUACCGGAUAGGACGAUGGUUUGGAUGCCAUUGUGGAAAGUUUUUUUCGGUGUGGGAUGAGCUCGCGGCCUAUCAGCUUGUUGGUGGGGUAAUGGCCUACCAAGGCGUCGACGGGUAGCCGGCCUGAGAGGGUGUACGGCCACAUUGGGACUGAGAUACGGCCCAGACUCCUACGGGAGGCAGCAGUGGGGAAUAUUGCACAAUGGGCGCAAGCCUGAUGCAGCGACGCCGCGUGGGGGAUGACGGCCUUCGGGUUGUAAACUCCUUUCGCUAGGGACGAAGCGCAAGUGACGGUACCUGGAGAAGAAGCACCGGCUAACUACGUG